rnacentral:rRNA from 1 species
AUUGAACGCUGGCGGCAUGCCUUACACGUGCAAGUCGAACGGUAACAGGUCUUCGGAUGCUGACGAGUGGCGAACGGGUGAGUAAUACAUCGGAACGUGCCUAGUAGUGGGGGAUAACUACUCGAAAGAGUGGCUAAUACCGCAUGAGAUCUACGGAUGAAAGCAGGGGAUCGCAAGACCUUGUGCUACUAGAGCGGCCGAUGGCGGAUUAGGUAGGUGGUGGGAUAAAAGCUUACCAAGCCGAAGAUCUGUAGCUGGUCUGAGAGGACGAUCAGCCACACUGGGACUGAAACACGGCCCAGACUCCUACGGGAGGCAGCAGUGGGGAAUUUUGGACAAUGGGCGCAAGCCUGAUCCAGCAAUGCCGCGUGCAGGAUGAAGGCCUUCGGGUUGUAAACUGCUUUUGUACGGAACGAAAAGCCCUGGGUUAAUACCCUGGGGUCAUGACGGUACCGUAAGAAUAGGCACCGGCUACUACGUGCCAGCCGCCGCAGUAAGA